UACGUAGGGGGCUAGCGUUGUCCGGAAUCAUUGGGGCGUAAAGAGCGCGUAGGCGGCCCCGGUAAGUCCGCUGUAAAAGUCAAAGGCUCAACCUUUGAAAGUCAGUGGAUACUGCCGGGCUAGAGUCCGGAAGAGGCGAGUGGAACUCCUGGUGGUAGCGGUGGAAUGCGCAGAUAUCAGGAAGAACACCAACGGCGAAGCGCU
rnacentral:rRNA from 1 species